rnacentral:miRNA from 1 species
GGAUUGUAACGGAACCCAUAAUGCAGCUGUGAUUCUUCGCUCCAGCUGGUUACGGGGUCCGUUUCUAUCCCACAGCGCGGAGGUCUU